rnacentral:tRNA from 1 species
CGGCGUGUAGUUCAGUGAAGAACGCCCGGCUGGGACCGGGAAGGCGCGGGCUCGUUACCCGCCACGCCGG